rnacentral:rRNA from 1 species
GAUGAACGCUGGCGGCGUGCCUAAUACAUGCAAGUCGAGCGAACGGACGAGAAGCUUGCUUCUCUGAUGUUAGCGGCGGACGGGUGAGUAACACGUGGAUAACCUACCUAUAAGACUGGGAUAACUUCGGGAAACCGGAGCUAAUACCGGAUAAUAUUUUGAACCGCAUGGUUCAAAAGUGAAAGACGGUCUUGCUGUCACUUAUAGAUGGAUCCGCGCUGCAUUAGCUAGUUGGUAAGGUAACGGCUUACCAAGGCAACGAUGCAUAGCCGACCUGAGAGGGUGAUCGGCCACACUGGAACUGAGACACGGUCCAGACUCCUACGGGAGGCAGCAGUAGGGAAUCUUCCGCAAUGGGCGAAAGCCUGACGGAGCAACGCCGCGUGAGUGAUGAAGGUCUUCGGAUCGUAAAACUCUGUUAUUAGGGAAGAACAUAUGUGUAAGUAACUGUGCACAUCUUGACGGUACCUAAUCAGAGAGCCACGGCUAACUACUUGCCAGCCGCCGGCGGUAAUACGUAGGUGGGAAGCCUCCUCCCGAUUAUUGGGCGUAAAGCGCGCGUAGGCGGUUUUUUAGUCUGAUGUGAAAGCCCACGGCUCAAUUGUGGAGGGUCAUUGGAAACUGGAAAACUUGAGUGCAGAAGAGGAAAGUGGAAUUCCAUGUGUAGCGGUGAAAUGCGCAGAGAUAUGGAGGAACACCAGUGGCGAAGGCGACUUUCUGGUCUGUAACUGACGCUGAUGUGCGAAAGCGUGGGGAUCAAACAGGAUUAGAUACCCUGGUAGUCCACGCCGUAAACGAUGAGUGCUAAGUGUUAGGGGGUUUCCGCCCCUUAGUGCUGCAGCUAACGCAUUAAGCACUCCGCCUGGGGAGUACGACCGCAAGGUUGAAACUCAAAGGAAUUGACGGGGACCCGCACAAGCGGUGGAGCAUGUGGUUUAAUUCGAAGCAACGCGAAGAACCUUACCAAAUCUUGACAUCCUUUGACAACUCUAGAGAUAGAGCCUUCCCCUUCGGGGGACAAAGUGACAGGUGGUGCAUGGUUGUCGUCAGCUCGUGUCGUGAGAUGUUGGGUUAAGUCCCGCAACGAGCGCAACCCUUAAGCUUAGUUGCCAUCAUUAAGUUGGGCACUCUAAGUUGACUGCCGGUGACAAACCGGAGGAAGGUGGGGAUGACGUCAAAUCAUCAUGCCCCUUAUGAUUUGGGCUACACACGUGCUACAAUGGACAAUACAAAGGGCAGCGAAACCGCGAGGUCAAGCAAAUCCCAUAAAGUUGUUCUCAGUUCGGAUUGUAGUCUGCAACUCGACUACAUGAAGCUGGAAUCGCUAGUAAUCGUAGAUCAGCAUGCUACGGUGAAUACGUUCCCGGGUCU